AAAUUGAAGAGUUUGAUCAUGGCUCAGAUUGAACGCUGGCGGCAGGCCUAACACAUGCAAGUCGAACGGUAACAGGAAGCAGCUUGCUGCUUCGCUGACGAGUGGCGGACGGGUGAGUAAUGUCUGGGAAACUGCCUGAUGGAGGGGGAUAACUACUGGAAACGGUGGCUAAUACCGCAUAACGUCGCAAGACCAAAGAGGGGGACCUUCGGGCCUCUUGCCAUCAGAUGUGCCCAGAUGGGAUUAGCUUGUUGGUGAGGUAACGGCUCACCAAGGCGACGAUCCCUAGCUGGUCUGAGAGGAUGACCAGCCACACUGGAACUGAGACACGGCCCAGACUCCUACGGGAGGCAGCAGUGGGGAAUAUUGCACAAUGGGCGCAAGCCUGAUGCAGCCAUGCCGCGUGUAUGAAGAAGGCCUUCGGGUUGUAAAGUACUUUCAGCGGGGAGGAAGGUGUUGUGGUUAAUAACCGCAGCAAUUGACGUU
rnacentral:rRNA from 1 species